rnacentral:lncRNA from 1 species
GCAGCCUUAAUCUGUCCAGCGUCUCCAUUGGCAGCGAAACUCCAGGAGCUGGAUCAGUCGUGUACAAUCCACCUCCAUCUUCGAGAUACCCGAGUUCUACAUCCCCCUGGUAGAGGUCAACGACGACUUUGACCUCACGCCCAUAUGACCCGUGACCUUUAGGCUACACGACCCACGGUAAGGGUCAGGCAGGGACGGAUCAUCUAGUGGCCACUACCCUCGAACAGGAAUGAAGUAAUGGGAGGGGUAACAUGUUGGAGGCAUGGAAGAAAGGUCAAGCACUGAAGUUGACGGAGCUUGGGGGUGUGGUAGAUCACCGCUCUUGGGGGGUGCAUGGUUAGAGAGCACCGCCUGGGGGGGUGCUGGUUAGAGAGCACCGCUCUUGGGGGGUGCGUGGUUAGAGAGCACCGCUCUUGGGGGGUGCGUGGUUAGCGAGCACGCUCUCUGAGGGGUGCGUGGUUAGAGAGCACCGCUCUUGAGGGGUGCGUGGUUAGAGAGCACACCGCUCUUGAGGGGUGCGUGGGUUAGAGAGCACCGCUCUUGGGGGGUGCGUGGUUAGAGAACACCGCUCUUGGGGGGGCGUGGUAGAGACACCGCUCUGGGGGUGCGUGGUUAGAGAGCACCCUUUGGGGGGUGCGUGGUUAGAGAGCACCGCUCUUGGGGGGGGUGCGUGGUUAGAGAGCACCGCUCUUGGGGGGUGCGUGGUUAAAGAGCACCGCUCUUGGGGGGUGCAUGGUUAGAGAGCACCGCUCUUUGGGGGGGUGGGGGUAGAGAGCACCGCUCUUGGGGGGUGCGUGGUUAGAGAGCACCGCUCUUUGGGGGGCGUGGUAGAGAGCACCGCUUGGGGGGUGCGUGUUAGAGAGCACCGCUUUGGGGGUGCGUGGUUAGAGACACGCUCGUGGGGGGUGGUGGUUAGAGAGCACCGCUCUUGGGGGGUGCGUGGUUAGAGAGCACCGCUCUUGGGGGUGCGUGGUUAGCGAGCACCUCCCUGUGGAGACUACCAUCCCUGUGCCCGCUGCACCUUCCUCACCAGGCAGGGUUACAAAAAAAAAGAAUUUGUUUUCAAUUUGUGCGUUUUGUUCAAUACAUAAUGUACAGACUUGUGCUCUUAAUUAUUAUUUUUUUAACUUAUUUUCUACGUAAAGAUUGUGCAUUUGUAAAUAACCCAUGUAAUUAUGGUUUUGAACUUGUACAGGGAAAAAAUAAGUAAUAGAUAUUUUAAUCGUAAAAGGUUAUUUUGUUUUGUCUGGACCAAAGUUGGUUUUUAUAUUGAGUCGUGUCAAGUUCCUUGUUGUUGUUAUCGUUAAAGUCGAUGUUAUUGGCUUAACUCUUGAAGCAUGUGUUGGAUCGGGUUUGGUUCCGUUUGGUUCCGUUGUUUCUUCCAUUUCCCCUCUGGACUGGAGUUGGAUCCAGGCACCACAACGAGGUGUUCAUUCUAAUGGAGUUGGAUCCAGGCACCACAACGAAGGUGUUCAUUCUAAUGGAGUUGGAUC